UUUAACUGAAGAGUUUGAUCAUGGCUCAGAUUGAACGCUGGCGGCAGGCUUAACACAUGCAAGUCGAGCGGGGGAAGGUAGCUUGCUACUGGAC
rnacentral:rRNA from 1 species